CCCCCCAGACCAACUUGUGCUUCAGAGCAGCCCCACACAGCCCUGUGCAGUGUGGAGCACUGAGAGGCAGCCUGCCCUCAGCCCAAGUGCCCAUGCACAGUGUGCAUCACACAGCACGGAAAGAAACCUGCAGUGCUCUGCUUCCCAACCCCUCAUUUAACUGCAAGCCAAAACAGCCCCCAGUGCUGCAAAUGGCUCCUCAUCCUGCUGAGCCCAUCCACCUCCCACAGCCUGAGCACGGCUGACUGCAGAGGUUUUCCUAGAACCACAGAACAGCAAGCAGGAGGGAGGGAGGCCUGCAGCCAGGCAGCAGUCUGGGCUGCAUUUCGGAGCUGACUCAUGGGGAAGGGCAGCAGCCAUCAGCUAUUGGGCUGGAUUUUAACUUGUGCCCAGAUUGGAUGACUAAGGAACUUAGGUACCUAUACAGAUCAGCAGCUUGCACACCCUUUGCAGUGAGCCCUCAGCAUCUGCAUUAACAGACCUCAUCCGUGUUCCACAAAAUACACCCCAAAUAUGUCCUCCUCACAAAUGGAAUACAAUGCUGUAAUCCAACUACAAAUAUUAAAUCCCACAACUGACCCACAUUAAAAAUAAAUCCCUCCAAUUAAGGGGGUUUAACCGAUGAAAUUUUAUAUACGUUGCAGGGAAAACAGAGCAUCUUUCACACAGCAGAUCAGUAUUGACGGCUAAAAGGGGCCCGGAGCAGCGCCGGGGUCUCCACGCAGCAUCAGCACUUUGCCCCCUCCGUUCCACCUCUGCGUGCAGGCGGUGCUCAGCAGCUCACGGCCGCCCCGCAGCCGCAGGAUUCACGCCACAAUGGGGAUGAAACAGCAUUCGUAAUGCUUUUUUUUUUUUUUUUUUUGGGGGGGGGGGGGGGGGGGGGGGGGGCAUCGAAACAGCUGCAAGGUCCUAUUUCAUCCCCAAACGCUGCGUCCUGCUUUGCCGAGCGUCGUUUACCGCACUCGACCUGCAUUACAGGAGAACGCCAAGCGAGCUCCUCUCCUCCUCGCCGACCUCCUUUUAGCACCGAGAUGACGCUACGGGAUGCGAUAACGAAACGCUCCCUCCGCUCAGCGCCGGCUGCGCCUCGUUACGCAGCCGUGAGCCCACGCGCCCCCCACCUUCAUCCCCACCUCCCCCCUCAGCCUCCGGACACCCAACAGCCGAGGCUCUCCGCAAUGGCCCGCGGAGCUCACACCGUGAUGCCGGCAUCGCUCCGCUUCGGAGCUUUGUUCUGCGACCAUCAUUGAGGACAAUGUAUUCCCGGGGCUGAACGAGCGACGGGAUUUGGUUUUUUCCCGACCACAGCGAGCAGAGUUUGCGGCUCAUUUCCGAACGCCGUACAGCCGGGUAGGGACGGUCGUUCGGCCUCGGGGUCGUCUCGUUUCAAACACGGAACGCGGAGGCUUUCUACCUAAGGACGGCGCCGAGCGAGCACGAUCCUACGGCGCCCGGCGCAGCCUGCCAUGUUUCCCCCCGCAGCCGUUCUCCCUCCGCCGCAGCGCCGGGCCAUCUCGCAGACGGCGACGCGAGGCCGCGCGAUGCCCGCCCGGCCCGGCACCCGCAGUCAGCGGUGGAAAUGCUGACAGUGUGAAGAGAAGAUGGCCUUCCUGCACUGUGUGCCAGCAUCACAGCAAUCUUCAGCGUCCGGGAGGAGUCCUGGCAGGAGUCCUGGUGCUGGGCCUGCAGCGUUGGGGAGGAGCAGGAAGCAUUAGCGAGAACUGGUAGAGGCACCGGGCCAGCAUACCACAACAUCCCUCGCAGAUAUUUCCAUUGUGUUUGAGUCAGUACAUCAGCAAAUAAAAUAAGUAUCUUGGGACCUACUUGCAUGACCUGCAGGCUCCACAU
ensembl:lncRNA